UUUUGUAGAAGCAGUUUAUGGCCGGACAGACGUGUGAAGGCCAGCGACGUGGAAGACCUCAUCGCAGAGACGCUGAGAUUCACGCCUCACACAGGAGGAAAGGAACGACAGGCAACUUCGUGGAACUGACAGUGAAACUGGGCAAUCAUUCCUCUGAAGUGAUCUUUUGAAUUAUUGUAAACUCUCUGGGUUUCAAGUUCAGUAUCAGUUUUGGAAGCAUUUCUAAUAAACCUCAUGUGACCUCU